AGUGAACGCUGGCGGUAGGCCUAACACAUGCAAGUCGAACGGCAGCACAGUAAGAGCUUGCUCUUACGGGUGGCGAGUGGCGGACGGGUGAGGAAUACAUCGGAAUCUACUUUUUCGUGGGGGAUAACGUAGGGAAACUUACGCUAAUACCGCAUACGACCUACGGGUGAAAGCAGGGGAUCUUCGGACCUUGCGCGAUUGAAUGAGCCGAUGUCGGAUUAGCUAGUUGGCGGGGUAAAGGCCCACCAAGGCGACGAUCCGUAGCUGGUCUGAGAGGAUGAUCAGCCACACUGGAACUGAGACACGGUCCAGACUCCGACGGGAGGCAGCAGUGGGGAAUAUUGGACAAUGGGCGCAAGCAUGAUCCAGCCAUACCGCGUGGGUGAAGAAGGCCUUCGGGUUGUAAAGCUCUUUUGUUGGGAAAGAAAAGCAGCAGGUUAAUACCCCGCUGUUCUGACGGUACCCAAAGAAUAAGCACCGGCUAACUUCGU
rnacentral:rRNA from 1 species